AUUAUUCUUCAUUCAAAAUUACGUUUGCCAAAAGUGUCAGUUAUAGUGAACUUGACAACUUUUAAGCACACUUUAAUCAAUAAACUUCAAAAUUAUUCUUUCUGCAAAUGAACACAAAUUUCUUAAAUUAGAACAUGGAUUUCUUGAAAAUAGUUAAAUUGACGGAUGAAAUAUUUACACUUAAAAAUCUGGUAACUGCUUUAUUUAUUUCUACGGUUUCAAUUCUAUUUUUGGUUUCCCGUAUUAUACCGCAGAAGACUGCCAAAGGAAAAAAUACGUUACUAGUGAAAGUAAACUCACCACCUGAAGAAAAUGAUAUUUCAACAUUAAAUGGUAAAAAUGGUAUGACUGAUGACAGUGACAGUAGCAAUGACGACUCAUAUUUAGAUAUGAACUGAGCUUUAUAAAAUGAAAAUACGAAGCCUUUACAAAUAAAACAGUAACAGAA